AUGUCUAGCGAACAAACGAGGAGCUUGCUCCUCUGACGUUAGCGGGGGACGGAUGAGUAACCCGGGGAUACCCUACCUAUAAGAGUGGGAUAUCUUCGGGAAACCGGAUCUAACCCCGGAUAACGUGUUGAACCCCUUGGUUCAUCCGUGAAAGACGGUUUUGCUGUCACUUAUAAAUGGAUCCGCGCUGCAUUAUCUAUUUGGAAAGGAACCACUUACCAAGGCAACAUGCGUACCCGACCUGAGAGGGUGAUCGGCCACACUGGAACUGAAACACGGUCCAAACUCCUACGGGAGGCAGCAGUAGGGAAUCUUCCGCAAUGGGCGAAAGCCUGACGGACAACCCCCCGUGAGUGAAAAAGGUCUUCGGAU
rnacentral:rRNA from 1 species